rnacentral:rRNA from 1 species
CUUGGAUGAUUCUGCUAGAAAUCAUAUGCUUGUCUCAAAAAUUAAGCCAUACACAUUUAAGUAUGAACUAAUUCAGAUCGUGAAACUAUGAAUGGCCCAUUAAAUCAGUUAUAGUUUGUUUGAUGGUAUCUAUGACUUGAAUAAAUGUAGUAAUUCUAGAGCUAAUACAUGCAACAAACCCUAACUUCUAGAAGGGAUGCAUUUAUUAGAUAAAAUGUCAAUGUAGGCUUUGCUCGUUGCUCUGAUGAUUCAUGAUAACUAGGCAGAUCAUUUGGCCUUUGUGUCAACGAUGCAUCAUUCAAAUUUCUACCUUAUGAACGUUCGAUGGUAGGAUAGCGGCCUACUAUGGUGGUGAUGGGUGAUGAAGAAUUAGGGUUUGAUCAUGGAGAGGGUUCUUAAGAAACAGCUACCACAUCCAAUAAAGGCAACAGGCAUGCAAAUUACACAAUCUUAACAUAGAGAGCUAGUGACAAUAAAUAACAAUACAAGGCUCUAUGAGUCUAGUAAUUGGAAUGAGUACAAUCUAAAUCCUUUAACAAAGAUCCACUGGAGGGCAAGUCUGGUGCUAGCAACCAUAGUAAUUCCAACUCCAAUAAUGUAUAUUUAAGUUGUUGAAGUUAAAAAGCUCAUAGUUGGAACUAAGGUUGGGUCAUUUGGUUUGCUUCAUGGUGAGCACUGGUCUACUCAACCCUACUAUCAGUGAUGCACUCCUAGCUUUAACUGGUAAGAUCAUUCCUCUAGUGCUAUUACUUUGAAGAAAUUAGAGUGCUCAAAAUAGACCUAUGCUUGUAUACAUUAGCAUGGGAUAACAUCAUAGGUUUUGGUCCUAUUGUGUUAGCCUUCAAGAUCGAAGUAAUGAUUAACAAGGAUAGUUAAGGGCAUUCAUAUUUCAUAGUCAGAGGUGAAAUUCAUGGAUUUAUGAAAGAUGAACAACAGCGAAAGCAUUUGCCAAGUAUGUUUUCAUUAAUCAAAAAUGAAAGUUGGUGGCUCAAAGAUGAUCAUAUACUAUCCUACUCUCAACCAUAAAUGAUGCCAACCAGGGAUUGAAAGAUGUUACUUUUAAGACUCCAUUAGCACCUUAUGAGAAAUCAAAGUCUUUGGGUUCCUAGGUGGAGCAUGGCUGCAAGGUUGAAACCUAAAGGAAUUGAUAGAAGGGCACCACCAAGAGUGGAGCCUAUAGCUUAAUUUGACUCAACAUGGGGAAACAUACCAGGUCCAGACAUAGUAAGGAUUGAUAGACUGAGAGCUCUUUCUUGAUUCUAUAAGUGGUGGUGCUAGGCCAUUCUUAGUUGGUGAUAUGAUUUGUCUGGUUAAUUCCAUUAACGAAUAAGACCUUAGCCUGCUAACUAGCUAUACGGAGGUGAUCCUUUGUGGCUAGCUUUCUAGAGGCACUAUGGCCACUUAGGCCAAGGAAGUUUAAACCAAUAAUAGGUAUGGGAUGCCCUUAGAUGUUAUGGGCUGCACAAGCACUACACUAAUGCAUUCAACAAGUCUAUAGCCUUGGCCGACAGGCUCGAAUAAUCAAAAUUUCAUUACCAUAGGGAUAUAUCAUUGCAAUUAUUGGUUUUCAACAAGGAAUUCCUAGCAAGUGUGAGUCAUCAACUCAUGUUGACUACCUCCCUACCCUUUGCACAGAAUGGCUGUCACUCUUACCAAUUGACUAUUUUGGUGAAGUAUUCAAAUCAUGGCAACAUGAAUGGUUCACUACCUAUGAUGUGUCAAGAAGUCCUCUGAACCUUAUCAUUUAGAGGAAGAAGAAGUCAUAACAAGGUUUCAAUAGGUGAACCUGCAGAAG